CGCUGCUAACCCUAACAGCAACGCCGCCACCGCCGCCGCAGCCGCAUCCUGCAUCCACAAUGCCCAGCCCACCGCGGCUGCCCCAUUCCCCAACCACACCGCUUCCCUCACCGCCCCACCGUCGCCACCCUACUUCCACAUACGGCGCACGGCCCAUCCCCCAUCUUCGCCCCCACCCUCAUCCGCCACCCGCGCCGCCGUACGCCCCAUCCCCGAUCUUCGCCGCCGCGCCCGCGACCCCCAUCCCACGCUGCCACCCAUCCCCACCGACGCUGCCGCACCGGCAUCCCCCACCAACGCCGGCGCCCCAUACCUAUUCAGGCGGCCGCAGCAACAACCCUGCGGACACACCUACCACCUACGGCCCCCUGUUUCGCCCCUCACACAGCAGCACCACAUCUCCUCAGUACCUGCUCCAUACUGCGUAUCACAUCCUAUCCAUUUGCACUCCCCACAAAUCAGUGGGAGGACGUGCCCAUCUGAAGCAGCAGUAGCAGCAGAACAAGUAGCUACAGCACCGCUUACCUCUGUUUGUGCUCCCCCAGUUUCUGAAGAGGUCUAGGUUCGCAAGUGGAGGUAUCCAACUUGCAGCCAUAAAUAAUCGAACAAGUACCACUUCAUGGUUAUGGAUAUAUUGCUCUUUUGAAUGUGAUUGGUUUGACAACCGUAUACACGACAAAAUGGCAAACAGAGGAGGAUGAGCUGAUGCUGCUAUGCAUGAAGAUUUGCGAACAGGGAAUGUAAGACAUGUCACAGAAAGGUUGCAUGAAUUCAUUCCAAGUCUUGCGUGGACAAAACAAGAAGACAAAGGAAAGGCAACGCAUCAAAUCAGUCAUCUGUCAAAAUGCCUAAAUGCCGACUAAGAUCUGAGAUAAUAUCACUUACAAAGCAUGACUGGAGGACAUGGCUGCUGAAAACCUGAAUGAUCAUGUGAUAGAAGUUGAUAGUAAAGUAUGCAGAAGCUACCAUCACAGCCGGAAGCAGUCCCCGCGUCUACGAGGUAUUACAUAUUCUUAGAAUUAUGUAAUAUUAGACUAAAGACAAGUUAAUUUUGUUUUCAUUAUCCUCUUGACAAUGUGUAUAUGAGCUAGCUCUUCCAAAAUUUAUAUCUUGUGGAUCCCUCGUAUGUUAGGGUCUUGUGGAUGCUACUUUUCUUUAUCUAUAAAGCAGGGCUAUGGCCUGAUUUCUAAAACCAUCAAUAAAAGAGAUCAAGAGAUGCAUAUAUACCAUGGAUGUUGCAACGAUUUACCUUCCUGUAGGCAGCAUUUAACCUAAUCUGCUUGUUCCUGAAACACUCAGGUAAAGGGUUAUCAGAUAUAGAAAUACAUGUAAUAUAAGAAAACUGAAUAUCCAUGUCCAUCUUUAGUGUUAUCCCAAAAUCUUUGGUGCAGUUAUUCUCUAACUUACUUCAUAUAUAAAAUUUUCUCUCAUGGUUUAACAAUACUACAUCCAUUUAAGCAUACUAAGAUUCUCUAACCAUGAAAUAUAUUCAGCAACAAAGGUGGAGCACUUAUCAAAUGAUAUAUUCAUGCUUUAUUGUUUUGUAGUGAAAGAAUAUCUCUUUUGAUAUAUAUCUCCUUUCAAGUAACACAAAACAGUGAUCGACUUGACCAACAUUCUUUUAUUUUGAACAACCUAUAUUCAUUUCAGGAAAUAAUGAUUUAUGGGUGUAUAAAUUCUUCUUUUGUUCAAUCAACAUUUUUUCCUAAAACCAAGAAGCAGAUUUAAUCAAAGGGUUGUUCGGUUGUUAUCGAUCUCAUAACUAUUGAUUCUCACUGUCUAGCAUUAGCACACACUACACAGAACAAACAUGUACAGAAAAACUAAACGGAGGACACCCUGCACUGCCACUGGAUUGCUAGUAACUAAUCCUUACCUGCAGUUUUUGGAUGUCCUAUUUACUUCGCAGCAAUGAAGAGAAAGUAAUACACCAAAAGAAGAUGACUAUCCGUAAAUAUUUAUAGUGAUAGGUUAUAUCGAUCUUCCUAAUGAUCCAUACAUAGUGCAUAAUCUGUUCUGAUGAGUACACACACACAUUCUGUUUGUGCCUUGUGGAACGCAAAGUAUAGGGCGACACACGUUUCCUUUUCAUUUGGAUAAGUCAAUUUUCUUUUUCUGCCCAUGCCUUCUAUGUUUGGAACAUAUGUUCGUCUGAGCUGAUUUUUUAAUCCAUUUCCUUUUUUGACAGAUCACAGUAUAAUUGCCUUUGCAUCCACAAGUUUCUAGAGGUGUGGUUGUUGAGCUAAAAGGAUCUUCUGCUGGGAUAUUUUUCGCUUUUGUCUAUGAUGUACUGUAAUACUUAUGAAUCUACAAAUCUACGUAUGUGUGCAUCUAGACCUGAUGAAUGGUUGUGCUUUUGGCUGUCCUGCAAUACUGGACUUAUGAACCUAUGUAUGCAUGAUGUAGACUUGUGAGCCUAUGUAUGGAUGAUGGAUUGCUUA